rnacentral:piRNA from 1 species
UCUUUGUGUAGAAAAAGGCCAUUGACU